CGGGAGGCAGCAGUUAGGAAUCUUCGGCAAUGGGGGAAACCCUGACCGAGCGACACUGCUUGGAGGAUGAAGGUUUUCGGAUCGUAAACUCUUGAACGAGGGACGAAUAAUGACGGUACCUCGNUAAUAGCACCGGCUAACUCCGUGCCAGCAGCCGCGGUAAUACGGGGGGUGCAAGCGUUAUCCGGAAUCACUGGGCGUAAAGGGCGCGUAGGCGGUAUGUUAAGUCCGAUGUUAAAGACCGAGGCUCAACCUCGACACGGCGUUGGAUACUGGCAAGCUGGACGGUUGGAGAGGAAGGUAGAAUUACCAGUGUAGCGGUGGGAUGCGUAGAUACCGGUAGGAAUACCCAUUGCGAAGGCAGCCUCCUGGACAACACGUGACGCUGAGGCGCGAAAGUGUGGGGAGCAAACCGGAUUAGAUACCCGGGUAGUCCACACCCUAAAC
rnacentral:rRNA from 1 species